UACAGGAGGGGCAAGCGUUGUUCGGAAUUACUGGGCGUAAAGGGCGCGUAGGCGGCCUUCUAAGUCGAACGUGAAAUCCCCGGGCUCAACCCGGGAACUGCGUCCGAUACUGGAAGGCUUGAAUCCGGGAGAGGGAUGCGGAAUUCCAGGUGUAGCGGUGAAAUGCGUAGAUAUCUGGAGGAACACCGGUGGCGAAGGCGGCAUCCUGGACCGGUAUUGACGCUGAGGCGCGAAAGCCAGGGGAGCAAAGCGGG
rnacentral:rRNA from 1 species